rnacentral:snoRNA from 1 species
GAGCAAUGAGGAUAAAAAUUCCAUCGUGAUGCACCCUGACGACGUUAUACGCUAUUCUGAGCUGCAA